GGUCUGGUGGUGUAGUUGGUUAUCACGUCAGUCUAACAGCUCGAGAGCCUCACCUCCCUCGUCUGCCACACUGAAGGUCUCCGGUUCAAGUCCGGGCUAGAUCA
rnacentral:tRNA from 1 species